rnacentral:rRNA from 1 species
ACCCAUCUAAGUGUGUGCUGGCUGAGACUGGUAGCCGGCCUGAGAGGGUGACCGGCCACACUGGGACUGAGAUACGGCCCAGACUCCUACGGGAGGCAGCAGUGGGGAAUAUUGCACAAUGGGCGCAAGCCUGAUGCAGCGACGCCGCGUGAGGGAUGACGGCCUUCGGGUUGUAAACCUCUUUCAGCAGGGACGAAGCGCAAGUGACGGUACCUGUAGAAGAAGGACCGGCCAACUACGUGCCAGCAGCCGCGGUAAUACGUAGGGUCCGAGCGUUGUCCGGAAUUACUGGGCGUAAAGAGCUCGUAGGUGGUUUGUCGCGUUGUUCGUGAAAACUCACAGCUCAACUGUGAGCUUGCGGGCGAUACGGGCAGACUAGAGUACUGCAGGGGAGACUGGAAUUCCUGGUGUAGCGGUGGAAUGCGCAGAUAUCAGGAGGAACACCGGUGGCGAAGGCGGGUCUCUGGGCAGUAACUGACGCUGAGGAGCGAAAGCGUGGGGAGCGAACAGGAUUAGAUACCCUGGUAGUCCACGCCGUAAACGGUGGGUACUAGGUGUGGGUUUCCUUCCUUGGGAUCCGUGCCGUAGCUAACGCAUUAAGUACCCCGCCUGGGGAGUACGGCCGCAAGGCUAAAACUCAAAGAAAUUGACGGGGGCCCGCACAAGCGGCGGAGCAUGUGGAUUAAUUCGAUGCAACGCGAAGAACCUUACCUGGGGUUUGACAUGCACAGGACGCUGGUAGAGAUAUCCAGUUCCCUUGUGGGCCUGUGUGCAGGUGGUGCAUGGCUGUCGUCAGCUCGUGUCGUGAGAUGUUGGGUUAAGUCCCGCAACGAGCGCAACCCUUGGUCUCAUGUUUGCCAGCACGUAAUGGUGGGGACUCGUGAGAGA